rnacentral:rRNA from 1 species
CAUGCAAGUCGAGCGCGAUUAGUUGGACUGGAGGCUUCGGCCAAAGGGAAGACUAUGAAAGCGGCGGACGGGUGAGUAACGCGUGAGCAACCUGCCCUGUACAGGGGGAUAGCCACUGGAAACGGUGAUUAAUACCCCAUAACCCCAAAAGAUCGCAUGAUCUAAUGGGCAAAGUCCUAACGGUACAGGAUGGGCUCGCGUCUGAUUAGCUAGUUGGUGAAGUAAUGGCUCACCAAGGCGACGAUCAGUAGCCGACCUGAGAGGGUGAACGGCCACACUGGAACUGAGACACGGUCCAGACUCCUACGGGAGGCAGCAGUGGGGAAUAUUGCACAAUGGGCGCAAGCCUGAUGCAGCAACGCCGCGUGAGUGAUGAAGGCCUUCGGGUCGUAAAACUCUGUCCUAAGGGAAGAAGAAGUGACGGUACCUUAGGAGGAAGCCCCGGCUAACUACGUGCCAGCAGCCGCGGUAAUACGUAGGGGGCAAGCGUUAUCCGGAAUCACUGGCGUAAAGGGUGCCGUAGGCGGCUGAUCAAGCCAGGGGUGAAAGGCAAUAGCUUACUAUUGUAAGCCUUUUGGAACUGGUCAGCUUGAUGCAGGAGAGGAAAGCGGAAUUCCUAUGGAACGGUGAAAUGCCGUAG